rnacentral:rRNA from 1 species
UACGUAGGGUGCAAGCGUUGUCCGGAAUUAUUGGGCGUAAAGAGCUCGUAGGCGGUUCGUCGCGUCGGCUGUGAAAACCCGGAGCUCAACUCCGGGCCUGCAGUCGAUACGGGCGGACUUGAGUGUUGCAGGGGAGACUGGAAUUCCUGGUGUAGCGGUGAAAUGCGCAGAUAUCAGGAGGAACACCGGUGGCGAAGGCGGGUCUCUGGGCAACUACUGACGCUGAGGCACGAAAGCGUGGGGAGCGAACCGG